UACGGAGGGUGCGAGCGUUGUCCGGAAUCACUGGGCGUAAAGGGCGCGUAGGUGGCGGAGCAAGUCAACGGUGAAAGCUCGACGCUCAACGUCGAGUCGGCCGUCGAUACUGCUUUGCUCGAGCACUGUAGAGGCAGAUGGAAUUCCGGGUGUAGCGGUGGAAUGCGUAGAGAUCCGGAAGAACACCGGUGGCGAAGGCGGUCUGGACUGGGCCAGUUGCUGGACACUGAGGCGCGACAGCGUGGGAGC
rnacentral:rRNA from 1 species